rnacentral:rRNA from 1 species
UACGGGGGGAGCAAGCGUUGUUCGGAUUUACUGGGCGUAAAGGGCGCGUAGGCGGUCAGCACAAGUCAGUUGUGAAAUCUCCGGGCUUAACUCGGAAAGGUCAACUGAUACUGUGCGACUAGAGUGCGGAAGGGGCAACUGGAAUUCUCGGUGUAGCGGUGAAAUGCGCAGAUAUCAGGAGGAACACCGGUGGCGAAGGCGGGGUCCUGGGCCAGUACUGACGCUGAGGAGCGAAAGCGUGGGGAGCAAACAGG